GAUGAACGCUGGCGGUCUGCUUAACACAUGCAAGUCGAACGAACUCUUCGGAGUGAGUGGCGGACGGGUGAGUAACGCGUGAGAAUCUGCCUGUGGGUCGGGGACAACCACUGGAAACGGUGGCUAAUACCGGAUGAGCCGAAAGGUAAAGAUUUAUUGCCCACAGAUGAGCUCGCGUCUGAUUAGCUAGUUGGUAAGGUAAAAGCGUACCAAGGCGACGAUCAGUAGCUGGUCUGAGAGGAUGAGCAGCCACACUGGGACUGAGACACGGCCCAGACUCCUACGGGAGGCAGCAGUGGGAAUUUUCCGCAAUGGGCGAAAGCCUGACGGAGCAAGACCGCGUGGGGGAGAAGGUUUUUGGAUCGUAAACCCCUUUGUCAAGGAAGAAGCUCUGACGGUACUUGACGAAUAAGCCUCGGCUAACUCCGUGCCAGCCGCCGCGGUAAUU
rnacentral:rRNA from 1 species